UUAUGGUUAAGCUACUAAGAGCACACGGAGGAUGCCUAGGCGCUAGGAGCCGAAGAAGGACGUGGCGAACAACGAAACUGCCUCGGGGAGCUGUAAGCAAGCUUUGAUCCGGGGGUGUCCGAAUGGGGAAACCCGGCUGUGGUAAUACGCAGUCACUCACAUCUGAAUACAUAGGGUGUGAAGAGGCAUACCAGGGGAACUGAAACAUCUAAGUACCCUGAGGAAGAGAAAACAAGAGUGAUUCCGUCAGUAGCGGCGAGCGAACGCGGAACAGCCUAAACCAGAGAGCUUGCUCUCUGGGGUUGUGGGACGUCUCACACGGAGUUACAAAGGAACCGAUUAGACGAACAGGUCUGGAAAGGCCGGCCAUAGAAGGUAAAAGCCCUGUAAUCGAAAGUCUGUUCCCUCCGAGACGGAUCCCGAGUAGUGCGGGGCACGUGAAACCCCGUAUGAAUCUGCCAGGACCAUCUGGUAAGGCUAAAUACUCCCUAGCGACCGAUAGUGAAGCAGUACCGUGAGGGAAAGGUGAAAAGCACCCCGGAAGGGGAGUGAAAAAGAACCUGAAACCGUGUGCUUACAAGAAGUCAGAGCCCUAUGCGGAAACUUGUUUCCGCACGGGUGAUGGCGUGCCUUUUGUAGAAUGAACCGGCGAGUUACGUUCCCGUGCAAGGUUAAGGUGAAGAGCCGAAGCCGCAGCGAAAGCGAGUCUGAAUAGGGCGAUUUAGUACGUGGACGUAGACCCGAAACCGGGUGAUCUACCCCUGUCCAGGGUGAAGGUGCGGUAACACGCACUGGAGGCCCGAACCCACGUAUGUUGAAAAAUGCGGGGAUGAGGUGGGGGUAGCGGAGAAAUACCAAUCGAACUCGGAGAUAGCUGGUUCUCCCCGAAAUAGCUUUAGGGCUAGCCUCGGUGAAUAGAGUCGUGGAGGUAGAGCACUGAUUGGGUGCGGGGCCCGCCAAGGGUUACCAAGCUCAGUCAAACUCCGAAUGCCAUGGACUUAUAACCGGGAGUCAGACAGUGAGUGCUAAGAUCCAUUGUCAAGAGGGAAACAGCCCAGACCAUCAGCUAAGGUCCCCAAGUGUGUGUUAAGUGGGAAAGGAUGUGGAGUUGCACAGACAACCAGGAUGUUGGCUUAGAAGCAGCCAUCAUUUAAAGAGUGCGUAAUAGCUCACUGGUCGAGUGACUCUGCGCCGAAAAUGUAACGGGGCUAAACACACCACCGAAGCUAUGGCUUGAUGCUUUGCAUCAGGGGUAGGGGAGCGUUGUAUGUGGAUUGAAGUUGGACCGGGAGGACUGGUGGACUGCAUACAAGUGAGAAUGCCGGUAUGAGUAACGAAAAGAUCAGUGAGAAUCUGAUCCGCCGAAAGCCCAAGGUUUCCUGAGGAAGGUUCGUCCGCUCAGGGUAAGUCGGGACCUAAGGCGAGGCCGAAAGGCGUAGUCGAAGGACAACAGGUUGAAAUUCCUGUACCACCGUAAUCCGCUAUGAGCGACGGGGUGACGCAGUAGGGUAGUGACGCGAGCUGAUGGAUGCUCGUCCAAGCAGUGAGGCUGAUGUGUAGGCAAAUCCGCACAUCAUUAAGGCUGGGCUGUGAUGGGGAGGGAAAAUUUACAGUACCGAAGGUCAUGAUCUCACACUGCCGAGAAAAGCCUCUAGCCAGGAGAAGGUGCCCGUACCGCAAACCGACACAGGUAGGCGAGAAGAGAAUUCUAAGGCGCGCGGAAGAACUCUCGUUAAGGAACUCGGCAAAAUGACCCCGUAACUUUGGGAGAAGGGGUGCCCCGGUAGUGUGAAUAGCACGAGGGGGCCGCAGUGAAAAGGCCCAAGCGACUGUUUAGCAAAAACACAGGUCUGUGCGAAGCCGUAAGGCGAAGUAUACGGGCUGACGCCUGCCCGGUGCUGGAAGGUUAAGGGGAGCGGUUAGGGAGCAAUCCCGAAGCUGUGAACCGAAGCCCCAGUAAACGGCGGCCGUAACUAUAACGGUCCUAAGGUAGCGAAAUUCCUUGUCAGGUAAAUUCUGACCCGCACGAAUGGCGUAACGACUUGGGCGCUGUCUCAACGAGAGAUCCGGUGAAAUUUUAAUACCUGUGAAGAUGCAGGUUACCCGCGACAAGACGGAAAGACCCCAUGGAGCUUUACUACAGCUUGAUAUUGAACUUUGAUGCGAUUUGUACAGGAUAGGUGGGAGCCUAGGAAUCCGGAGCGCCAGCUUCGGUGGAGGCAUCGUUGGGAUACCACCCUGAUCGUAUCGAAGUUCUAACCUAGGACCGUGAUCCGGUUCGGGGACAGUGUCAGGCGGGUAGUUUGACUGGGGCGGUCGCCUCCUAAAGAGUAACGGAGGCGCCCCAAGGUUCCCUCAGAAUGGUUGGAAAUCAUUCGUAGAGUGCAAAGGCAAAAGGGAGCUUGACUGCGAGACUGACAAGUCGAGCAGGGACGAAAGUCGGGCUUAGUGAUCCGGUGGUACCGCAUGGAAGGGCCAUCGCUCAACGGAUAAAAGCUACCCUGGGGAUAACAGGCUUAUCUCCCCCAAGAGUCCACAUCGACGGGGAGGUUUGGCACCUCGAUGUCGGCUCAUCGCAUCCUGGGGCUGAAGUAGGUCCCAAGGGUUGGGCUGUUCGCCCAUUAAAGCGGUACGCGAGCUGGGUUCAGAACGUCGUGAGACAGUUCGGUCCCUAUCUGUCGUGGGCGUAGGAAAUUUGAGAGGAGCUGUCCUUAGUACGAGAGGACCGGGAUGGACGCACCGCUGGUGCACCAGUUGUUCCGCCAGGAGCAUAGCUGGGUAGCUACGUGCGGAUGGGAUAAACGCUGAAAGCAUCUAAGCGUGAAGCCCUCCUCAAGAUGAGAUUUCCCAAUUAGUAAGACCCCUUGAAGACGACGAGGUUGAUAGGCCUGAGGUGGAAGUGCAGCAAUGUAUGGAGCUGACAGGUACUAAUCGGUCGAGGGCUUAUCCAAAA
rnacentral:rRNA from 1 species